rnacentral:rRNA from 1 species
GACGAACGCUGGCGGCGUGCUUAACACAUGCAAGUCGAACGGAAAGGCCCUGCUUUUGUGGCGUGCUCGAGUGGCGAACGGGUGAGUAACACGUGAGUAACCUGCCCUUGACUUUGGGAUAACUUCAGGAAACUGGGGCUAAUACCGGAUAGGAGCUCCUGCUGCAUGGGGGUGGUUGGAAAGUUUCGGCGGUUGGGGAUGGACUCGCGGCUUAUCAGCUUGUUGGUGGGGUAGUGGCUUACCAAGGCUUUGACGGGUAGCCGGCCUGAGAGGGUGACCGGCCACAUUGGGACUGAGAUACGGCCCAGACUCCUACGGGAGGCAGCAGUGGGGAAUAUUGCACAAUGGGCGGACGCCUGAUGCAGCAACGCCGCGUGCGGGAUGACGGCCUUCGAGGUGUAAACCGCUUUCGCCUGUGACGAAGCGUGCGUGACGGUAAUGGGUAAAGAAGCACCGGCUAACUACGUG